rnacentral:miRNA from 1 species
UGAUGAUGAUGAUGAUGAUGAUGAUGAUGAUGAUGAUGAUUAUGAUGAUGAUGAUGAUUGCAACCAUCAUCAUGGUCAUGAUAUUCAACCAUGAUG